UUCGUCCUACGGGGGGCAGCAGUGGGGAAUAUUGCACAGUGGGGGGAACCCUGAUGCAGCGACGCCGCGUGGGUGAAGGAGUAUUUCGGUAUGUAAAGCCCUAUCAGCAGGGAAGAACAAUGACGGUACCUGACUAAGAAGCACCGGCUAAAUACGUGCCAGCAGCCGCGGUAAUACGUAUGGUGCAAGCGUUAUCCGGAUUUACUGGGUGUAAAGGGAGCGCAGGCGGCGCGUUAAGCCUGGUGUGAAAGCCCGCGGCCGAACCGCGGGACGGCAUUGGGAAAUGGCGAGCUGGAGUGCCGGCG
rnacentral:rRNA from 1 species